GGAGCGGUAGUUCAGUCGGUUAGAAUACCUGCCUGUCACGCAGGGGGUCGCGGGUUCGAGUCCCGUCCNGAGUUCUCCC
rnacentral:tRNA from 1 species